rnacentral:SRP_RNA from 1 species
CUCUUCGCCAUGUGGGUGGCCUGCCGCAGGGGCAGGGGAGGCGGCGAGGUUGCUGCGGCCGAACAGGUGUAUGUUGACAGCAGAUCCUCGAGCAAGAAGGAGACGGAGUGAUGUGUGGCGCCACAGC